rnacentral:lncRNA from 1 species
UAGUUUUACCUAUGGUAAUAUAGUAGUAAUUCAAAGUAACUAUGGUAAACUCUAGCAGUUUAAGUAACCUCAAACUUAUUAUGGGGUUGCAACACUCAUAAUGAAGCCAAAUAAAAUAUACCAUUAUUUUAGCACACUAGUAAAUUAAUAUUCCUUCUUGUAUAGUGCUUGAUUCUUCAAUAAAUUGUGGAUUAUAUGAUAUAAUAUAUUUUAGGAAUUUAUGAGUGAGUCUAAAAUCUUAUUUUAAACUAUUUUUUUGUAAUUUCAUUUCAUUCGUAUUAUUUUAUUGCUUAUAUAGAUUCCUUUGUUAAAAUAUUUCCUAUAUAUAAGGGGAUAUUCUUUUGAUACUACCUAGUUAGAAAUGUAGACAUAGUAUGCAUUCUUCUCAUAGAUACAACUAAUAAAGCAUUUAACUAUGCUAUAAAUUGAUAUCAAUUUUAAAAGAAAUAUUAUAAGAUAAAAGAAAUGUUCAAAUAACCAUUUUGCAAAUCCAUAUAAAUAUAAAAAUUUAUAACUCCACUUUAAUGAAUAACUAACUUUCUAUAUUUACAAUUCUACUUCAAUAAAUAACUUAGUUUUCAAACUAAUAUGCAUCUUUUAAAAAUGUUUAUAGUUUUAAUAAUUAUUGUAAUGGAUAAUAUUCUUUAAUACAGAAUCACCUAUAUAUAGGAAUGAGAGAAUGUGUAACAUAAGAAAAAAUGUUAAGACAUACCUUAAUUACUUCCAAAUGAUUUAGGAUAGUAUAUUGUUAGUUUAAAACAUAAUAUAAUAAAGAAUUGUGUAACACACUUUAUCUCUCUCCCCUUAAGUCAACUAGAAAAGGAGUAAUUGCUUGAUGAGAGAGCCCUUAGUGGUUAUUUUAUCCCCAUUUAUCCCCCAAAAUUCCAAGGAUUCAUAAUGACAGUAUAUCCACAUCUCAUCCCAUUGACUAUUGACUAACAACCCUUACUGUGCUAAGGGGAACUAACACCUUCAUUUCCGCACUAAAUUUACUAAUUCUUCCAUUAUGUAAAUCAGAGAUGUCAAUGUCCUUAUUGACUAUUGACUAACAACCCCUACUGACAACACCUCCAAGGGGAACCAACACCUCCAUUUCCACACUGAAUUUACCAAUCCUUCCAUUAUGUAGAUUAGCUAUUUCAUGUGAGGCAACUAAUUAUCCACUCGUACCGUAGUCCCACGGUGAAUACUUUCGUCCGUGGAUACUCCACACAAGAGGAAGACCGUAGUCCCACAGUGGAUACCUUCAUCCGUGGAUACUCCACACAAGAGGAAGGACGUACGUAUGGAUGCCCAAUAUAUACGAUUUCAAAUUUAGGGGUAGGAAUAUACCUUGCUCAAGGGUAUAUUAUAUUUUUAAAUAGCCACUAAUAAAUGGGAAUCAAACCUGUGCCAUUUGCUUCGAUACCAACUGUAACGCACCUUAUUUCUCUUCCCUUAAGCCAACUGGAAAGGGGCAAUUGCUUGAUGAGAGAGCCUUUAGUGGUUAUUUUAUCCCCAUUUAUCCCUCAAGGUUCCAAGGAUCCACGGUGACAGUAUAUCCAAAUCUCAUCCUAUGAUCACAUGCGCUACAGAUUGUUCCGUACCUCACUUAGUCAUGAAUUUUAGCUUUUGGAUGCUCCACAAACAUGCCGAUUCCUCGUGUGCUGGCCUGCCGUUCUCUUGGGGUUCUUGUCCCCCUUUUUUUUUUUUUUUUUUUUUUUUUUUUUUUUUUUUUUUUUUUGUUAAUUUUUUCAGAAUAAAACUCUUUCAUAAUAAGAAAAAAAGUUAUUAUUGAUUUAUAAAGCCCUUGUGUAUAGCCUUUAGAGGAGAGAAGUAUUUUAGGAGUUAUAUAAAAUCAAUUGCUCUAUAAUAAAAACAUAUUUUAGUUAAUCAACUGCUUCUUUGUUUUUUUUUUUUUUUUCUUUUUGAUUCAAUGCCAUUAUGUCAUAGAUUUUAAGAGUAGAUGAGUGGAUUAUGCAGUAGGAGAUUUUUGAGUGAUAAAAGAAGAAUAAUACUUUAUAAGUUCUUGAGAUUCUUUAUUGAAAUGACUCAUAAAUAAAAUAGAAAUAUCAUAAGAGUAAGGUCACUUUUUUUUAUAAAUUUUUUUGGAUUUUUUGUUAUGGUAAACCUAUAUUGAAAGAUUGCAUAUGGGUUGAAUGUGGUUAUCAAAAAGAUUGUUAAUGUCCAGUAAGAAGUCUAUGGUUAUUUCUUUCAUAUUUUAGUUUUUUCCUUCCAUUUACAUAUUUCUCAUAGAUGAAAUUUGAUCAAUAUCAUUUCUCAACAACAAAAGUUUUUACAAGAUUUUAUGAGCCACUAAAAGUAAAAUAUUUUUGCAGAUGUAAAAAUGCACAAUACAAAAGGAUGCCAUAGUCUAAAUUUAUAAAGAGAGCAUUUUUAGUAAUUAAUCCACUAAUAAAAUCUAUUUUAUAGUUGUGAGGUCCAAGUGUAUGGCAACAAUGCUAUAUACUAAUAUUAGCGUAGUGAGAUUUUGGUAGCCGUCAGAUUGGUUUCAAUCCAGACCACUCACUCCUGUAUAUAAAAUAAGGUUUUUGGACUAAUUGAUAUGCACAUUUCCUAUAUUCCUUUUCCAUACUCCAUGCACUCAUAUUGAUGGAAGUGAGGGGCAACUUUAAUUGUCCUUAAGGAGUGCUUGGAUUUGAAAUUUUGGUUUAGAUUUAGCUUUUGCAUUGUUUAAAAUUUAUUUUUUUCCAUUUUCUUUCUUUUAUUCUUUCCUUUUAAGAUUUUGGUUUAAAUUUAGCUUUUGUAUUGUCUAAUCUCUCUUUCCCUCUAGCUCUUUUUAUUUUUUCAUUUCUCUUCUUUUGCUCUUUUUUUUUCAUUCAUCUUCAUGGCAUAGUAAUAAUUUCCUUUUCCUUUGACUCUAAAGUAGCAAUUGGUGCAAUUGCUUAAUGCUAUGCGAUUGCAAUUGAAUAACCAAACUCAAUUAAUGGCAGCAUUUACAGCACGUAGUAUAGUUCAUCUUGCUCUUCGUGCCAAUUUUCACGUUUGGCCAAAGUUCUUUUAUGAGAAUCCUAAGGAUGAUGUGUACUAUUGGUUCAAUCACUUCACAAUGAUUGCCACAUAUCAUUCUUGGGAUGAUGCUUGAUGUUUGCAUGAAUUUCCCAUGUGUUUCUAAGAGACGACACUACAGUGGUACAAUGGUUUGAAUGUAACCACUCAUGGGGAUUGGAAUGUUCUCUUAGACAUUUUCAAAUAUGUAUUCGGACAUGCCGACAAUUGUGAUAAUGCCUUUCAAUAAUUGUAUUGUCUUCGUCAAGGGCCAUUUGAGUCAGUGAUGCAAUUUGGCAUUUGUUUUUAAAGCUUUUUGCUUCGUGUAGAGCCAAAUAUAUCGGAGCAAAUCAAGCUAGGAAUGUUACGUCGCUUCUUCCACUUCUCGCUAUACAUCCUUCAACUCCACUUCCUACAGUUCUAAUGGAGGUUGAUGCUGUUGUUGCUCGAGUCCAGGGACAAGGGCAAGGAUGUGGUUGUGGCUAUGAUGUUCACUAUUAGGCAUGUGAUAAAUUAGUCACACUUAUCGGCAUUAUUAGCAUUUUCUAGAUUGGCAGCCUCCAUUUCUUAGAUGGAAACCUUGGCGUCAACAAUGUCUUGUUGGUGCUGUUACGGUGGAAGGUUUGGACACCGAGAUGCAUCCGAAAAAUGAAAAGUCAUGCGAAUAAUGGAGGGACCUUGCGCAAAUAAGUCAAUGACCCUUCCAUUUUUCUUUCAGGAGUAUCAUUAAGGCAUUCACUUGGCAUUAGUUCAUUCAAUGUUUACUUUCUAAGUUUGUUUUUAUAAUAAAAGAUCUCCUUGGUUGAUACAAAUUUGAGUUUAUCUUUUAUUGCUUGACCUGUUACCACAUGUUGCCGUUUACUCUUGCGUCAUGUGGUAGAGUCAAUUUUCAUUCUUUAUAACAACGGCCAUACACAUGUAUAUGCACGGGAUGAGGUAUAUUUAGUUGUGUGUGUGGGCAAUCUUGAGCUUGGAUUGUAGUCAUUGUGAGUGGUGCUGAGUCAAGCUUUUGACCUCAUCCUUGGUAUAGAUUGAUUGCAGCACAAUUAUGCCAAGUGUGAUUUUGAGACUUCUCCCCUUUGUCUCAUACUUCCUUAUAUUUUAUCCAUUCCUCUCAUUUCCAUACCUUUUUGUCCUUUUGUUUCUACCUCUACUUCCAUUAUUUUUGUUUCCCUAUUACUUCUUCCUAUAUUUCUAUCUUGUUCUACACUUUCCUUUUCCAAUCCCUUAGAUGGUCUUUGUGUUGUAACGGUUGACCAGCUCAUGAGGAAGUAUGCCUAUCUCUUUGAAUUUGAUUUAUCAUCUAGGGCUAAGAUUGCCAAAUGUCAUUCGAUUCCAACUGGGGAUGCUGGUCCAAUCAAAGUUUAUGUUCAUCAUUGGUCACCCAAAGAGAUCAAGGUUUUACAUGCAAAUGUCAAUGAGAUGUUGAAAAAGGGUGUUAUUCGAAAGUCACAAAGUCCUUGGGCAUGUGAACCUUAUCUUGUGACAAAGUUUGAUGGGAGUCUUCGUUUUUGCAUCAACUAUCAUCCAUUAAACAAAGUGACGAUCCUGGAUGUGUAUGUUCUUCCUCACAUUACUGAUCUUUUGGAUCAUUUAGGGAGAAGUCGUUGAUUCACCAAGUUAGAUCUUACUUCUGGGUACUAGCAAGUACCAAUGGCUAAAGAAGAUAUUUCUAAAAUUGCUUUUCUUACAUCGUUUGGUUUGUACAAGUUUUUAGUGAUGCCGUUUGGUUUGAAUAAUGCUCUAAUGACUUCCAGCAGAUGAUAAACAAGGUUCUUUGCAAUAUGCCAGAGGUGAUUGGUUACUUCAUUGAUAAUGUUUUGAUUCACUCGAAAGGACCUGGGAGGAACAUAUUUAUGAUGUUUGUAAAUUGUUGGAUCGGCUAUAAGACAUUGGUUUAAAGUUGAAGUGGUCGAAGUGCAUGUUUGGGUCUAAGGACACGAUUUAUUUUGGGUACCAAAUUUCUCGUGAGGGUUUGCAAGUUAAUCAUGACAAACUUGUAGCUGUUCUAAAGUUCCCUAGUCUGAAGUAUAUGAAUGAUGUGCAGCGCUUCCUAAGCAAGGUGCAGUACCUCAGUCAUUUUGUGAAUUAUCUUUCUGAUCGCACUGCAUUAUUGCGAGCAUUGUUGAAGCCAUCAAUAUAAUUUUUCAUUUGGUCUCUAAAUUGUGAGUGGGCAUUCAUAGAUCUUAAAGAGCUAUUAAUGACUCCUCUGGUUUUGGCAUAUCCUGACUACACUUGACCUUUCAUUUUGCGCGUGGAUGCUUCUGAUAUUAGUCUUGGAAGUGUGUUGAUGCAAGAGAGCCCGAUUAUGCCUGGUCAGUGCCAUCCCAUUAAGUAUAUAAGCUGUACAUUACAACUAGUAGAGGUAAACUAUUCCACGAUAGAGAAGGAGUGUUUAGUAGCAGUUUGGGGUUUUAAAAAACUUCAUGCAUAUCUACAUGGUUUUUAGACAUUACUAAAAGGUGAUCAUGCUACUAUUACUUCAUUAUUGAGUGGAAGAACUUAAUUGGUCAUAUUAUUCAGUGUGCUUUGAAAUUUCAAAUAUAUGAUUUUGAUGUUGUUUAUCACCCGGGGAAUUCUAUAAUUGAUGUUGAUGCCCUUUCUUGAACUCCUCUUCGUUUUUCACUCUUUUAUCAUAUUUCUAAUGAGCUUGUUGUUUUAGCAUUUGUGGAUUUUCUAAACAAAGAUUUUAUGUUGUCAGUGGCUGCUAUACUUAAUGUUUAGUGUUCAUAAGGUGUAGAGCAAGAUCUACCUUCUUUUGACAAAGUUUACGAGGCUCAAAAGAUUGAGUCAUGGAUUCAAAGGCUUCAAAAUGGCUAUUAAAGAGCUAUUAAUGACUCCUUUGGUUUGGCAUAUCCUGAUUACUCUUGACCUUUCAUUUUGCACAUGGAUACUUUUGAUAUUGGUCUUAGAGGUGUGUUGAUGCAAAAGAGCCUAAGUGUGCCUGAUUAGCACUAUCCCAUUUCAUAUAUCAACUUUACAUUACAACUAAUGGAGGUGAACUACUUCACAAUAGAGGAGUGUUAGCAAUAGUUUAGGGUUUUGAAAAACUUCAUGCAUCUACAUAGUUCUUAAACAUUACUAAAAUGUGAUCAUGUUGUAGUUACUUCCUUAUUGAAGUGGAAGGACUUAGUUGGUCAUAUGACUUGGUAAGUUUUGAAGUUUCAAAUAUAUGAUUUUAAUGUUGUUUAUCACCUGGGGAGUUCUAUAGUAGAUACUGAUGCUGUUUCUCAAGCUCCUCUUUCUUCUCCACUCUCUUCUUAUGUUUUUAAUGAGCCUAUUAUUCCAGUAUUUGUGGAAUUUUUGGAUAAGGAUUUCAUGCUGAUGGUGAUUAUUGUACUUGAUGUUCAAUAUCCAUAAAGUGUAGAGCAAGAUUUACCUUUUUUUAACAAGGUUUAUGAGGCUUAAAAGAUUGACUUGUGGAUUUGAUGGCUUUGCGAUGGGUUUGAGAAUUCUAUAUUAUUUGUUAAUGACUUGAUAUUUUGGCAUUUACAUUUUCAAUAUCACCUUAAGGAUGGUCUUUUUUAUUUUGUAGGGAUAGAUCUUGAUUAUCAUUUACAACUGAUGGUGUUUUUGAUCUUUAUUCCACACUUUUUCCAUGCUUACCAUGAUUUUCUUAUUCUAAGUAGGCAUAUAGGACAUCAUUAUAUGACUAAGAAACUGCACAAGUUUUUUUAUUAGCCAAAGAUGCAAUAUGAUGUUAUUCAGUAUAUGUAUAGCUGCAUUUGGUGCCAAACUGGUAAUACUCCCCUUCGUGCUGUAAAAGGAUAAUUGGAGUCAAUUACAAUUUCCCGUCUAUUUGAGUUGGUGGCAUUUGGGACAUUUUCCACGAUCGACUGUUGCCAAUGAGUAUGUUAUUAUUGCUUCUAAUUACUUGACUUAUUAGGUGGAAGUUGAUGCUCUUACUAGCACUUUUACAACUACUGUUGGAUACUUCCUCCUCAAUUGAGUGGUGUUUCAGCAAUCUUGUUCGGAGCAGAUUCUUUCGGAUAAUGGUCCUACAUUUAUGGCUAAGGCAUUUUAUGUUUUGACAUCUUAGUUGGGGAUAUGCCACACUUUCAUGAGUGUUUAUCAUCCACAGUUAGAGAAUUUGGUGGAACGGCUCGUUUGGAUAUUCAAAAGGAUGAUGUGAAUUUUCAAUAUUCGGAUUGGGAUGGUUAUUUGUCGUCUUUUCAAUAUAUAUAUAUCAUAGGUGUGUAGAGUCCUAUUGGUGCUUCACCAUAUAAACUUCUAUAUGGUCAUGAUCCAAUAUUACUAAUGGAAUUGGGUUUAUCUUUGUGAUUGCCACAAGCUGUUGAUGCUAGAUCGUGGAAUUAGUAUUUGAUGAGCAUUCUUCUAUUAAUCUAAGUAGUGUUUACAAAACAUCUAGGUUGCAUAUAAGUAGGACAACAAUAACAUUACAACUCCUGUCAUCAUCCAUUUGCAAAGUAUAAAGUGGAUGAUUUAGUGUUAGUCUAUUUUCUCCAUCUUAUGGUACAUGGUUUAUUUAAGGGGUUCCUUGCUUAAUGGAAAGGACUGUAUCGAGUGUUGCGGCAAGUUAGAUCAUAAGUUUAUGAAGUUCGACAUAACAUACAAUAGGCCAAUCCUCUAAAAAUUAUGCAUAUGCAAUAGUUAAAACAUUUCAUACAAAGGAAUUAAAAACACUUAAUACCACCUAUAGAUCCAUCGAUACCUCUUCUUGAUGUUCCUCUAGAUCUUGGCUCAUCUAUAAGAAAACCUUAAUGGUCCUACAUUAUUUUGAGUGGAAGGGAUGAUGUAAGGUCCAAAUGUAUGGCUAUGAUACCAUAUAUUAAUAUUAGUAUGUGAGAUUUUAGUAAUAUUAAUAUAUUGGGAUUUUAGUAUGAUUUUAAUUUAAACCACUCACUCUUAUAUAUUACUUUCACUAUGUGAAUGCAUAAAAUAUGAAAGGGGAAUACAAGAAAUGUGCUUAUCAAUUAGCCCAAAAACCUUAGUUUAGUAGCAACCAUAAAGGUUCAAAUAUAAUCCCUCUUAAUACAUAUAUUUGGUACCCACCUGCUGACGUGCCUGACACGUGGCGCGCACACGAGAUUCUGAUCGAGAAAUUUGGCUAUGGCUUCCAGUGGCGCUUUGUGCUCCGUUUAAAUCUGGCCCUUGGCGGCGCUCUGGCCGCCUGCCCGUGCGCGGCGAGUGAUGUGAGGCGAUGCAAUAGCGCUUGCCGGGCUUCGCGCAACAAGAGAUAGUAGCUGGUGCUUCCUAGGUCUCGUGGGUCUGCGCGAUCCCUUUCUUUUCUCUCUUUCUUCUCGCGGCUCUAAGUGGAUUUCCAGGACACUAGGGUUGCGAUCGAUCGCUGGGCAUGGCAGCCGAUGUUCUUGGUGGAGGUAUUCUCGAUUUGGGCGAUCGCGGCUGGGCAGCUCAAGCUCCUCCACUGUCACACUCACAGGUAGGCAAGGUAGGCUGUAGCCAGGAAGUGGAAAAAGUAGUGGAUGGCGCCAUUGAAAAAAUUUGGAGGGUGGAAGAUCGCGAUCAAACUCCAGACUCUUCGCGGGAAGAGCCAAAACUAGAUCCAGAGAACCAAGCACAGGUUGAUUUUACCAGUGAACAGUCGCUGCUAGAGAUUUCUUUGCCGAGGAACCUCUCGUCCCCGGACAAGGCUGUGAGGACCAAGGCUCUGGAAGCUCUUGGAAAAUGGCUGGCUUCGUGCUCCAUGGUGGAGGAGCGGUGCCUCGUUAGGAUCUGGCAGAGCAUUUUCUAUUGCAUCUGGUCGACGUCCAAGGCCUUGGAACAGGGUGAGCUGAUAAGAAACGUAGCGACCAUCGUCGGGAGCUUGAGUCCGGACGUGGCCAUCCUCGCGUUCAAGGUGCUGCUCUCGACCAUGAUCGUGGAAUGGAGCGGCAUCGAGAAAAAGAAGCUGGAGAAGUUCCGGCUGCUGCUCCAGAUCUGCUUGAGCCAGAUGUUUGAGGUGCUGGAGAGUCACGGCUGGAGCGAAGAACUCAUCUCCAAGUUCUCCGAGGCUUUUGGCGAGCGGAGCUUGAUGGAGAGCCAGGCACAGGGCGUCAAUCUCUUCUUGGCGCAGGCUUUCGUGGAGGAGCUGCGCAGCCGCAUCCCUCCAUCGUCGGAGGUGCUGAGGAUCCUCCUCGAGCCAUUCGUCGCGGUGUUUGCAACGUCCACGGACAAGACGGUGCUCCAGAGGGUGAGAGACACGGUUUUCCUACAGCUCCUCCAGGAGGCUCGCAAAACAGUGAAGGUAGAGAAUGGUGGCGAGGAGUCAAAGAAGUGCCUGGGAUCUCUUGUCCUCGGUCUUCCACUCGCGGGGAAGUUCUUUGAGCUCUCGGCGGAGCCAUCGUUGGGGGCGAUCAACAAGAAGUUCCUCCAGCAGCUCUGCGAAGACUUUAGCAGAUCGGAGGGAGGCGUCUCCUCGCCGGCGAUGGGGAUGCUCAAGCCGGCCGUGACUCCGCCACCAAAGGUGGUGGUGGCGGAGGAGCUGGCGGAGCCGGCAAGCCUUUCCGUGAAUGGAAGGAAGCGGAAGAGGAUCACCGGCGAGGCGGUAGUGUUCCAGUCGCGAAGAGUCCUGAGAAGCGAGUUAAAGCUUGCGCUCCAGAGCAGCGACAGCGAUCCAGAGGACAGCCCAAGGAGUAGUCCGAGGAGGAGCCCGAGACGAUCGCGGAGCCCGAGCCCGAGCUUAAGUCCGAGACGAGCGUCACCCAGGAGGAGAGGCGGCAGCGACGAGCAGCCCGCACAGUCGGAGAAGGAGGUGGAAUCGACGUCGGUGUCGGGCGACGAAGAUCUAAGCAGUGGAGGAGGAAAGAAGGUCCGGUUUGCGCUCAAGAACAAUCUCGUGUGGUCUCCACGGCGGCCUCUCCCGCCGGCGUGGGUGAGAGUUCCUCCGUGUGCCGCGCCGCGAGGAAGCGCCAUGAAGCCGGGCGUUCUUCCAGGUCCCAUUGCCGAUCCUCCUCCGCCCAAGCAGAGGAGGACGAAGGAGAGGAAGCACAGGGGCAAGAAGAAGGCGCCGGGGGUGGGACCGCCAUCGCCAUCGUCGUCCGGGAAGAAAUCGAAGAAAGCGAGGAAACGGGCGUGAGCUUUGUUAUAUGUUUUGUACAUUCGAAUGAAGAACCCUAAAACACGAAUUCAAAUGUUAGGGCUGACGUGAACGCUAUAAAAACAGAAUUUGAAGAUUUUUUAUCGGGAGGAUUUCUUGAGGCGGAAGAAGAGGCGAUUCGCGAUACCAGUGCCCGCGCAGCGCACGCAGCUGAUCUUUCCCCGGCCUUGGCAUAGCGAGCACUUCUCGAGCGGCGAUCCAGUGAAGAGCCCACCUGAAAAUCAACGCUUGAGAGAUUUGCAAUUCGAGUUUUGCGCGAGCCUGCCUUGUUUGCCGCGGGCCUUGCACAUUAGGCAGAGCUGCAAUCGCCAAUUCAACACAAGGAGAAUCAAAUCCCAGUCGAACAAGAAAAAGGAGAAGAUCACUCAACAUUGUAGCCAGUUCCCAAACAUUCCUUGCAUUUCUUGGGUUUAAUUCGCACCUAGGUAGAAAGCAAGAGAACUCAAUGGGAACAAAGGAAUCCCCUGGCACGAACCAUCGAUAGGAGCCAUCGCGGAUUUCUUGCUAGCGUUGUGGCCGCGAAUUGCAAUGCAAAGAUGGUCGCCAUGACCGCCCAUCCCGGAUCAUCCAUCCCCUGUUCUAAACUUUAGGCUUCUAGCAUUGUAAUUCAUGUUUUGGCCGGAUCGAUUACGCAAAACUCUUCGAAGUUUAUCCUGCUCGAUCGAUUCUUGCUUUGUUCUUGCCUGGAUUGAAGUUCUUCGAUUCACUCACGGCUCUAACAAUUGCAUCCCAGUAUCUGGGAGAUCCGGGCAAGCCAUGGCGCCGCCACCACUCUCUCUCGCACUCAAGCUAAAUCCAUCCUCCCGGCACGACAGCUUCUUCGAUGGCGCAAAGUGGAAGCAAGGAUCACUGGAAACGCUGGGCCAGCAAGGAUCAUCCCGCCAAGGCUUGAGGAAGUACGGAGUUAAUCCCGCCAGGCCCUGGGCCGUAUAGCCAAACGUGGACAUGUGACUCGUCAGCAACACGUCAGCAAGGCUCAGCGACCAAAUGUCCACGAGGGCCCUCUGCUGGUGGUCCACGUCAUCGCGCUGCUCCUCGUCAGCACCCAGCGUCACGAGCUCGAAUCUCUGCCCCGUCUGGGACUCCACGUCGCGCAGGCUCGCGUUGAGCUUGGCGGCGUGCUCGCCCACCAGGGACGCGACGUAGACCGCGAUGUAAUCGUCGCUGGCGAUGGAUUUGUUCUUGGAUUCCAGGAACUCGUCGAUCUCGAUCGGGCAGAGGCCGGAUUUGGAUCGAAUGCAGCGCGGCACCGAUGCGUCGUAGUAGUCGCGGUAGUCGCCCUUGGAUUCGCGGAGCUGGACCGCGAUUCUUCUCGAUGCGCCUCGGAAUUUCACGCUGUGGAGCGACUGGAUGGAUCCCCAGACCUCGUCGCUAGGGUUGAGCAGGAAGCCGGCUAGAUUGUGGAAGACACGGCGCUCCGGGAAGAUCGCCUCGAGGAUUGGGCGCAGGGAUGGAUUGAGGAAGAAUCCCGCCGCGAAGUACUGGUUGCUGUUCCGGAAAUUCAAGACUGGGAUGUUCCUGACCGAUGCCAUGGCGGACGGGCAGACGAGGAAUCGGUGUUCUUCCGGCUUGGUGUUGGCGGAGAAGACGAUCGGGAGGACGGGCUGGGAGCGGCACACGUCGGAUCGAGAGAGGUGGCCGCGGCAGCGCGCAUAGAAAUCCGGGAAAGAGAUGGAUUGAUCGUCCUUGAGGGAGAGGCCGCGCGGGAGCUUCCAGUGUGAAUCGAUGAAGGGCUCGCAGAAGAGGCGAUCCCAGGAGGGAGAUUCUUCGAGGAGGAGGACCCGCUGGGAGAGGAUCGCGUAGAGGAAUGUGGAGACGAGGGACAUGAGCUUGUUGCCCAGGCCGAAGGUACAGCUCCACACGAUGUAGCGGCACUGGCUGGGAUUCGUGAUCUUGGCGGUGUUCUUGGCGAUGAUGUGGUGGAGAUUGUCGUGGUCGCGCGCGACGCAGGCGCUGUGCAUUGUCGAGUAGCGAUCGAGCAGCGCCUGGAGCGCCGGCGAUCGAUCCGUCGCGUACCUAUGAAGCGAUGCUCCAUUCUCACUCUUGAAUUUGCAAGAAUUCCUUGGAGGAGGAUCGCGAUUCUUGGGCGCGGCCAGGAUUUUGAGCUGCUCGUCCAUGGCCGCGAGGAUUUUGCACACGCCGCCCUCGCCCGGGCUGGCGACUGUGGCGCAUGAUCUCAAUCCUCGCCGGAGCUGCUCUGGAAAUGUGGCGUCCAGGGAUUUGCUCCAGUUUUUGGCGCUCGAAUUCCGCGAAUUCGCUGCAUCGCAGGGCGAGAAGACGAGAAUUCCAAUGAAUACUGGCAGCCAGAAUUUCUUGAGAUCCAUGAGAGGGGAAAGAACACUUUUUUUCUACUAGUGUCGGCUGUCAAGAAAUUUUAGGAGUGCCAAGAAUGAUAAUCCCUCACCCUCUAACUGUCCCACCAAGUGAUUCAUGUGAUCCAAAUAAUUAUAAAUUCUUUGGCAUAUCCUUAUUUUGCUUAACUUUAAUUUUUUAGGGUUUAUGCAUGCUUUGGACAAAAAAGUUUUAGUCAAUGCAAAACGAAGUCAAUGACAAUAAAGACUUCCGUUGACUACCAUUGCCUUUGAGCUCAACUCAUUAAGUUGGGCUCAAUUUUGCCGAACAAGUCUUUGAAAGCAAAGCACAAAACUAGUUUGGAACUGGUCAACUUACAAAUGUGCCUGCUACACUGCUAGCCUCCAUCUUCCUUUGGCCCGUCUACGCCUGAUAAUCCGUCUCCCCGCUGGAGUCCUCAUCCUGCGCCAAACAAAACUUGGCUUUGAUCCGCGAGAAAGUGACUGGGUACUUCACUCACCUCACGAGAAAUCCAUGAGUCCUUUUCCGCUUCUUGUUGUUUGGCUGAUAAGUCCUCUUGGGCAUCAUGAUCAUCGAGCUAGGAAUGACAAAUCCGAAAAGAAAAAGAGAUUCUCAAACUAAAACCGAAGAGAAAGAACAGCGAUUACCUCUCGUCGGCAUCCAAGAUCUCGGGGCAUUUCACUGUCACAUUCCAGGCCUAUAGUCUCUACAAUGCAAGUAAUUCUUGAAGCGUACCCUCAUCGUGAGCUGACCAUGGCGCUGGACCGUUUGCAGGCCAGGGCAAAGGCAAUCCCACGGGAAUCAACAGAGCUAGGUCGUCGGAUGGAGCUCCAAACCCCUGCAUUGCAUUCCACGGCGCGUCUGGACUUUGGCGCCCUUGCACUGCCCUCCACACCUGAUGAUCCUCACACAAUGCCGCCCAGCGCCGCCCAAGAAUCUGCCCGCCGCUCCGCCAGGGCGCCGCGCGAUUCAUCACUUGCCGCCAGGCCAUUCUUUCCCCUAUUUUAGGGUUCUUGGAAUUCUAUUUGAUGCAAAGAUCCGUUUCUUCUUUAACUUAUGUACUUUAAUUUUUUAGUAUAUUCUGUUACCCUUUAGGGUUUAUGAUCUUCUAGGCAUGGAAGAGAAUGGCGGAGGAGGAGCGAUGGCGCUGAUGGAAUCCCGGCCCCGGGACCAACAGCAGAAGGAGGAGGGCGAGGAUCGCGAUGGCGAGGGUGAUUUCCUGGCGACGGACGAGGAGCAGAUCCUGGCUCGCGUCGCCGCGAAUCAUCUCUUCCUAGGUCAGUUUGAGGCGUUCCGGGCAGCGAUCAAGACUCUGUCCGACAAGAAUGCGAUGGCCGCGAUCGCAUUGCUGCGGGCCGUGGUGGUUGUCGGUGGCCGCAUGGCAGGUGUUUUGGUGGAAUCGCCAGCGCAGCUCGCAUGGAUGUGUGUUUUGGAGUUGGAAGAACUGGACGGGACUUCCAUCGCCGGCAUCGAGCUCGUCAGGGAAUUGGUGGAAAUGCUCCUCCUGCUGGAGAUGCUAGAAGGGAAAAUCACUCUGGAUGGUGCUGGGAAAAGGGAGAUAGGUGAUGGAACUUUAGGAUCGAGUAGUAGUAGACAGGGCUGUGGUGUCGACGCGACGGGAGAGUGUGUAGAUAGUGAAGCGGCGAGUCGAGUGAUAGACGCGGGGUUUUCGCACGAUAUCACCUUUUUUUUCCUCGGACGAUUGGAGGGGCUGCUUGGUUCUUCGCAGCAGGGCCGUGUAAAUUCUGGUUUUAGCGCAGAGCAGCUGGAGAAGUUGGAGAGCUGGGUCGAGUGUUACACCGUCGCUCAGCCUGAGACGAUGGCUGCGAUUUGUAGAAAUAUUCGAAGACAGAGCGAGCUUGAUGAGGAGUUCCGCGGGGAUGGUUUCGGUUUUAUCUUUCUUCAGCAGGUGCAGCUUGUUCAUUUGAAGCGCAUCAAAGAGUUUGUCGAUCGAGGGGAACUAGAAAAAGGGAUUUCCCACUUGAAGUACCUGGACGAGCGUUGUGGAGUCCCGGAGGCUGACUUCAGGUGAAUCUAUGCAUUGAUUGUAAAUCAUUGUUUGAGUUGUUCUGGUUCUGGCAGCGAAGUUGUAUCGCUACUAGGUGACCGGUGCGUUGUGGCUGACAAGAAAAGGCUGUUCUCCUUGGCUUAUGAAGGCAUUCUUUCUUCUGGUAGCACCCGAUUGCUAAGUGUGUUGGAGGUAAGUCUUCGUGCUAACGCGACUUUCUGGCUCAUCCUCGUCUGGUUUGCUGCUUCCAGGCUUCCCGGGAUAAGCCUAUUCAGGCUGAACAGGAAGUUCAAGGUGUUAUUCCACGUCCAUUUUGGAGUUUGCAUCAGCAACAUGAAGCCUUGCAGCAACAGAAUGUGUCAACGGCCGAGACAGUAUUACGGGAGUUCAUGCGAAACGCUUUUCAUUAUUCUCGGGCGAAAGGAGAGCACGUCCUUGAGACAGCUACUAAGAUUGCUCUGGAUGCCAUCAGGACGUCUCAACUCGAGCUUGCGGCAGAUGUAUGUAUGCUUCCAGCCAUUGUAUCGUUUCUUACUGCAUCCCUCCGCAUUCCUUCGCAUUGCACACAGGUAGACAGACAGAUAGAUUCUAAUAACCUCAUAAGCCUGAGUUUGAUUUGUAUGGGACUGUUUGGGCAGGCUCUUGUAAUAAGUAAUGUGUAUGUGUUUUCCUCUUCAGGUUCUUGUUCCGUUUCCUAGGCUUCGCCCAUUAGUUGCGGCCAUGGGUUGGAACCUCUUGACGUGCAACACAACCGGCCGUCGUAAUAUGAUGGAAACUCUUUGGUAUUCGGAAUCGAAACUCGGUAAAGGCUUUCCUACCUCAGGAAAGCUUGUCCAUGAAGUAAGUUCUCUUCGACCGUGUAAAACGUUUUGCUGAGUUGCAUUCCUUGCAGGUUUCGUGCAUUGAAGACCUGUGUGAUCGACUUUGCUACAACUUGGAAGUGGCGUAUUUUGUAGCACAAGUAAAAUCCGGCUCAAGAAAUGAGUUUGAAGGGCCUCGCUUGCUAAAGAGUGAAUCAACAGUACCGUCGGACAGUUUUGCAGCAAAUCUUGUUCUUGAACGUCUUGCUGAUGAGUCCCCACUUCGUGUAAGUUCAUCCAUUAAAACUCUUGCUAAUGAACGAACAAGCGGGCUGUAGGUUAUCUUCGAUAUGAUACCGAAUCUAAGAUUGCGAGAUGCGGUAAAUUUGUUGAAACUUCAGCCGGUUUCUUCAUCUCUGGAUUUGAUGCAUAGGUAUGACGUCCGAGGUUUUGCGUCAUCUGUUUGCUAACGUUCGGUCUUAAAAGGCAUAAUGAUUUGGAACUUCUAUAUAUGCAUUAUGCUCUUCAGGCUACAGCAGUAGCAAUGAUAGCAGUGACAGCAGAAGAUAAAAUUAAGACGGCGGGCUUGACAUCGUUGAGUGAGCUUCAGCAACAUCUCGAAGCGAUAAAAACUCCAGUCCGCCGAGUAAGUGGAGAAAUGAACUGUGGUGUAUAUUAACUUGUAUUUGUUUUCAGCUCUGGAUGCUCGGUAUGAUCGUCACAUUCCUUCAAAUGGAGGAGGAGCACGUUUUGGAAGACAUGCCUAUUGAGGAGGCUUUACAGUCGCUAGACACUUCUCAACGAUUAAUUGAGGACCGUGAACAACUUGUCAUGCUUUUUGUGAGGCGCACGCUGGAAAUACUGCAUCGCUAUCUCCCUCCCUCGGGUUUCAGUUUGGCUUAUGGGAAAGCCAAACUUGAUCCGGAAUGGAGGGAGUGCUGGGAGAACGAGCGCCUCAAAAUAAGCCGUUUUGUCGAGGACUGGAACUGGCGCUUGCUAGUGGUUGAAAGACUGAUUUUGCGUCCUGAAGAACAACUGUCGUGGAAAUCAGCUCUUGGUAUUCUUCACUCCGCACCUCUUUCACUUCUAAACAUGUAAGUUGCUUGGUUCUUUCUUUCUUUCUUUCUUUUCUUUUGUUUUUUGCUAAUCCUUUCCCAUUCGGGUCUCUAGGUGCAUUUUGAGAUCUGAAUAUGACUUAGCUAAGGAUGCAGUCCAGCGGUACUCGCUUACGCUUGAAAAUAAUGUGCUACUGCAUUUGGCUGAAUGGCUUCAUAAUGCUGCUGGGGAAAAAAAGGUACGGGUUCCGCUUUGACACUUUGGCAUUUGUACUGAACUUUCCUUCAGGGUCCAGAAGAAUUACAACGCUUUACUCGUUCAUUGGCGCCAGAGUCAAGUGUAAGCUGAUAUUUUUUAGAUCCACAUUCGAGUUUAACGAAAUUUCAGUGUGUAACUUGUUUGGAUGUUGCUGCAACGCGCACAUCAUCUAUUGAGACCUCCAUGCUGCUUUUGGAAGAAGUAAGGGUUGAAACACAUUUCUCUGUAAUUCACAUCUCUUUCCAUUUCCAGUCACGAUCGUUGGUAUCUGAGGCCACACAUGAGCAGCAUUUCGUACCACUUUUCAAGCGUGUUCUUCAAAGGUUUUACGAGUUGCUGGAACAGGUCGGGCUCUAUUUCUUUCGCGUGUUUCGUGUGUAACACUUUGCGUUUUUCAGGGACAUAAUCAACCCCUUCCUGUUCUUCUCUCUGGCACUAGUGCUUUUUCUGGCUCCGAAAGCCUGCGCCAGGGAUCAAAGCAGCGGGCCUUGACCAUGUUACAUCAGAUAAUCGAGGAUGCACAUAAUGGGAAAGGCCAGUUCUUAAGUGGUAAGUUCGUUUAAUACCUGUUUGAGCUUGUUUAAUUUUCUUGUGUAGGCAAGCUUCACAACCUUGUAAAGGCCUUAGCGGAUGAGGAGCACGAGGAUCCUGCCUCGAGGCUGUUGUUUUAUCGAAAGCAGCAGGAGAAUGGUUUCGCACUUGGUCUGGGAUUUCGUCCUUUAUUAUUGAGGACACAUGAAACAGCCGGAAGCACUGACGAGGCCUUACAUCAAAGGCCGAUAGGAAGGAGAUAUUUGGGACCGUUGCUGAACAAGCCUAUGGCUUACUUGUCCGCGUUCAUCCUCUAUGUGGCAACCAUUGGAGAUAUUGUCGACGGUGUGGAUACAACUCACGACUUCAACUUUUUCUCGCUUUUGUACGAGAGUCCGGGUGAUGUAAGAAUGUUUCAGAGGAUUUCCAUUUUAAAUUUUCCAUGGAAUUUAUCUAUUUUGCAGUUGCUAACUCGACUAGCAUUUGAGAGGCGCAGCACGGAUGGAGCUGCUAAAGUUGCUGAAGUGAUGGGAAUAGAUCUGGUGCAUCAAGUAAUUUCUGCUUGUGUGUCGCCAGUUCUUCCUCCCAGCGCAUCAACAAUUUCUCAGCACCCAUCCCAUGAGCUGGACUUGGACACCAUUAAGUUCUUGAGUACACUCUCCCCCGUGCGAACUAUCCUGGCAUGUGUAUUUGGUAACAAGGACUCGAAAAUUGGAAAUGAUUUUGCUGUCGAGCAAGCAGAAAGGUAUCCUGUAUUUUGCUAGUCGAUGUUUCUCAUCCGUUCCUUUGCUCACAGGUUUCCUUCAUUGCAAAGAUGGAUUCAAAUGCAAGCGAAUUUGCAAACACUUCGUGACUCAUCUAUUCUGUCANNNNNNNNNNNNNNNNNNNNNNNNNNNNNNNNNNNNNNNNNNNNNNNNNNNNNNNNNNNNNNNNNNNNNNNNNNNNNNNNNNNNNNNNNNNNNNNNNNNNNNNNNNNNNNNNNNNNNNNNNNNNNNNNNNNNNNNNNNNNNNCUGAAGGUGCUGUCAUCAAAGAACAAUCUAUUCCUGCUAAUCACGUUUGGGAAGAUGAAUAUCCAUAUCACGAGGCUGUGGAGAGGUAAGCGUUUAUUUAUACUUUUCUUUGACAUGUCUUUUCUCCUUUCUGUUUCUUCCAAAGCUUAAUCAAGAAUGGGAAGCUUGUAGACGCGUUAACUUUUGCCGAUCGAUGGCUAAAAGCUGGAGCUCCGGACAAACUCUUGCAACUUCUUAUCGAAAGAGGUGAAGAUAGCGUUCCGAGCUCUAGUCAUUUGAGCCUCCACCAUAACUUGUGGAACAGUAGCUGGCAAUACUGUAUACGUCUGAAGGACAAACGCCUAGCAGCGACGCUUGCUCUCAAGUAAGGCAUGUAAUUUGUGUUGUAUAUCUGAAACGCCGGCUUGGCGUUUAGGUACUUGCAUCGUUGGGAGCUGGAUGCGGCUAUCGACGUGUUGACCAUGUGUAGCUGCCAUUUGCCCACUGAUGAUGUUCUUUAUGAAGAGGUAUUAGCAGUUUCGGGUUAUUCUAUCAACGUUGUGUCUAAAUGCUAGUCUUGCAAAGGUCAUUCGGGUUAAAAAGCAUCUGCAACAGUACCGCCAAAUAUUGCGAGAAGACGUCAAGUUUGAGAACUGGCAAGAGGUUUGCGACAUUAUACUUCGCGUCUUGUUAUGACUGUCUUGCCUUCAGGUUGAGUCCUUAUGUGAUAGAGAUCCCGAGGGCCUAGCUUUGAGGCUUGCUGGCAAAGGAGCUGUUACUGCAGCGCUAGAUAUUGCUGAGUCCUUCAAACUUUCAGAUGACUUACGGAGGGAGCUCCAAGGUCGGCAGCUAGUGAAGCUACUUACAGCAGAUCCCAUAAGUGGUGGAGGUCCAGCUGAGGCUAUCAGGUUUCUCGGUUCACUGAACAACCCCGAGGACGCAUUGCCGGUUGCAAUGGCUGCGAUGGAGCAGCUACCAAAUUUGCAUUCUAAACAGCUUCUGGUAACAUUUUGUUGACUUGAACCUUCUUACACUAUUAAAAUUAAACUACCGCAUGCAGGUACACUUUCUUUUGAAACGGCAGAUUGGCGUUCUCUCGGAAGAAGAGCACGACAGGAUGGAUCGACUGGCAUUGGGCCUCAAAAUGCUUGGUGCACUUCCCUUACCUUGGCAACAACGAUGCGUAGGCUUACACGAACAUCCGCAGCUUAUACUAGAGACACUCCUUAUGUGGAAGCAAUUCCAGGCAGCGUCACAGGUAUCCAAUAAUUUUUUGGCUGUAUUUUGGUUAUAACUAUAUCGAGUUUUUGCAGCUUUUGAAUGCUUUUCCAUCGUUGCGCAAUGACAAACUCAUAAUCACAUACGCUUCAAAAGCUGUAUAUGUUGCACCUGCAUCUCCCGAACGGCAAACACAUUAUCUUCCAAUCAAGCCGGCCUCUGGGAACAAAAAUGGCAAUAACCGAAGAUUCACCUGGACACCGAGAGACGCGAGGAAUAAAAUCGAUGGUACCCGAAAGAGAAAAAGUACCCUUCCACCAUCACAGAAGGCCGCUUGGGAAGCUAUGGCUGGGUAUCAGGAGGAUAGACCAAUUGGACUCGGACCGGAAGGUUAUGAGAAGCUUGCACCUCUAACUAUGACAGAUGGAGUUCUCUCUGGUGAUCCUGUCAAAGACGAAGCCGUUCGUAGCUCUCAUAAGUACGACAGUGCACCUAGUUUUGUCUUGUUCAAGGUAGCUAUCGCUGGUUGUUUUGUUUUGUUUUUAUUCUCACUAGCGUUCUGUGCAGGCACUUCUGUCUCUUUGUUUUGAUCAAGCAAGUGCUGCCAAGUCUGCGGUUGAACUGGCCGUUUCUCAAGUCCAGAGUAUUCUCAGUGCAGACUGUUUACCAGCUGGAGCGAGCUCGGAAGCAAUUGAAAGAGCAUUUCAUGCAGCGGGAACUUUUGUCCAGGUACCACUUUCUUGGCUUGUUUCUUCUUCGCCAAUCCUUUUUGCAGGUACUACUGGAUGCUAGAACUCAGCUUCAUAAACUCUUGGGCAACAAAGAAGCACCGAGCCAGGAAAGUCCAGAUACUGUUUCAGAGUCCGGUACUGACAGUCAGUCUGCGACCAGUCUCACGAAACUAUUGUCAGAAGCUGACAUAUGGUUAAACCGGGUGGAACUGCUACACUUUUUACUCGGUUCUGGUGUCACUGCCUCUGUAGGCGAUGUGGCAGACGAAACCUCGGCGCUUCUCCUUCGUGACCGUUUGAUCCAGGAGGAGCGAUAUGGUAUGGCCGUAUACACAUGCACGAAAUGCAAGGUAACUAUUUCUCGGUGCUGCUAGCUUUGUGUGAGACCAAUACUACUGUUCAGAUCGACGUUUUUCCGGUUUGGGAAGCAUGGGGUUACGCACUACUUCGGAUAGAACAUUAUGCGCAAGCCAGGCUAAAGUUCAAGCAAGUAUCUUUUUGUUUGACCAUCUUAUCACUCUAACCUGGCAACUUACAGGAAAGCAUUUCAAUUAUACAAGGAAGAUUCAUCCAAGAUUGUUCAGAGAAUAGUUGACAAUGUGGAGGCAUGCCCUGCUGCUGAUGUCCAUGCUGCACGUUCUCUGUAUGUUGUCAUUCUCUCUCGACUUUGUUAACCUGUUUGCCUGCUAUAGGUACGUUCACAUGGCGAAGAGCGCUUCAAGCUCAUCGGAUGACUCGCUUUCCGCAGACUCAUAUUUGAACGUUCUUUACAUACCAACAUUCACAAGAGCUGAUCGAUCCAGGAGGACUACGGAAGAGGCGUCAGAGCGACUUUCUUAUUUUAAUGCGGACGAGAUUUCGGUUCCUUUGAGCAACUUGGAUAAUGUCCGUUUCGAGGAAUGCAAGUACUACUUGGACGAGGUAACUAUUUCGAUUUACCAGCUGGUAGAUAAUCAACUGUGGCUGGUUGGGCAGUAUGGUCGUUCGCUGCUUCUUGGCUUCAUGUUUCGACAUGGUCGUUAUCGUGAAGCUUGUUCGCUAUUCUUCCCUGUGGGUACUCUUCCUCCAAUUCCUGCAAACUUAUCAUCUGGAAGCGUCACAAGCUUGACAACAGAAUAUGGAACAGUGGACGAUUUAUGUGACUUAUGUGUUGGAUACGGAGCUAUCCCGAUUUUGGAGCAUGUGAUAGAGACUCGGAUUUCUCCUGCUAGCAGCGAAGAUACUCAAGUUUCGCAACAUACAUUUGCAGCACUGACUCGCAUAUGCUUUUAUUUCGAGACACACCGGCAUUUCAACCAUCUUUACCGGUUCCAGGUACCGGUUUCCUGCAUGGUUGAACUUAAACUAAGGGGGAUGGUUGUGCAGGUUUUGAAGAAAGACUACAUUGCAGCCGGUUUGUGCUGCAUCCAGCUCUUUUUAAACUCUGCAACACAAGACCAAGCUCUUCGAAAUCUUGAGCGUGCUAAGGUACGCUUCUUCAUCAAUGGUUUGUGAAUGAUUGUGAGCUUAUUUGAAUGACAGGGUCAUUUUGAGGAAGGGCUCCUUGCUCGUCAGCAAGCGAUUGAGAACGUGAAGUCGGCGGCAAAGGCUUCUCGUGGAAAGAGUCCAUCUGAAAAGCUGACUGACGAGGACUUGAUAAAAUUUUCUGCACGUUUGUCUGUUCAGGUACUGGCUCUUCUGAAACUUCGCGUGGGCCUGACGCUUAUUUCAUCUUGUUUUUCAGAUGGAAGUGGUGAAAUGCUUCAGCGACGCGGACGGCCCUCCAUGGAAACGCUCUCUGUUUGGAAAUCCUAAUGACAACGAUACUUUCAAGUGCGUAUUUCCUUUUACCUCGCGUAGUUUCUCACGAGUGUUCAUCGCGCUCCAGACGAAGGUGCGAAGUGGCUGAGGCGCUUGUGGAGAAAAACUUUGACUUGGCAUUUCAAAUAAUCUAUGACUUCGGACUUCCUGGUGAGUAAUCACUCUUUCAAAAGUCGUGCAUACCAUUGUCUGGCGUUCUGUUUGCAGCUGUCUACAUAUAUGCUGGUGUAGCUGCUGCGUUGGCAGAGAAACGCAAGUACAAUAACUUGGUAGAUCUGCUACGAAACAUCAAAGGAACGAUCGACAACGAGGACCUCGACCAGGUUAUUAUUUCGAAGGAGGUGCUUUGCAGCUAACGCUUUUAUAACGUUCCAGAUAAUUGGAGCGGCCAUUUCGGUCUAUGCCAACAGGCACCGUGAGAGGCCCGACAGGCUUAUUGAGAUGUUGUCGAGUACUCACAGGUGCGUGGCGAGCUCUUUUGCUUUCCUUUUUGGUUAAACAUUUGCCCCUGUGCAGGAAAGUUUUGGCGUGUGUCAUGUGUGGACGUUUGAAAACGGCAUUCCAGAUCGCCUCUCGCAGCAACAACAUUGGAGAUGUUGAAUGGGUUCGGCAACAGGUAAGCAAGCAAGACACUUGCAUGCCAUGUUUUAUCUUCUGUCUUCUUUUCUUUCCAGGCUCGAAUGACUGGCGCAUUGCCAGUCGAAGACAUGUGCAAGCAGUGGCUUGCGCGUGCAUCCUGAUCAUCAGUUUGGCUUUUGUAAGUUUUGGCAUGUAUCAUAUCGACACCGGUUUGUAAAUUCGACACACAAUACUCUCAAUACGCUUUUUCUUUACGAACCUGCAGGGUAUAAAAGAGGUCUAACUAUAGCUCAAAGCCUCAAAAUCUCUAUCAUAGAGCCUCCACGAAGUCCAUGAACAUGGCGGUCUGGUUCUUUUUUAGUUUAACCUGUGGAUCUUUGGCACAAGCAGGCUGACAGCAGCGCUCUUAAUUUUUUACUUGUUACACGACGCAUGGCUCGCUCGCUGGACUGGCAAGAUUUUGAGGAUCUCCACAGUAAGUACAGUAAGUUCUAGUGGCACUUGAGAUUUUUAGAGAAGAGAAAUCGGUAUCGCUACAGUUUCGAUUUACAUAGACAUUUCUUUUCACGUUUGGCAGAUGAUCAUCUUCGCCUCUUUGAAUUUUCGGAGAAGAGACGGGUCGGACACCAUUGCGACGAAAAAGGUUCUUCAACACUCUUCUACUUCUCUUAUUUUUUGCUUUUAUUUUUAUUUUUAUUUUUUUGGAACUACCGGUCAAUCUAUUUCUUACAGGUCAAAAAACGAAUCAAAGAACGAGGAGAAGACAACCAUAUGUUUUAUGUCCGCAGAGCAUCUCCAUCCGAAGCACUGCAGCGAUGGAAACUUGCUAUGGUGGUCAACAAUUCGCAGCUAAGCUUUUCCAGUAUAUAAUCAACCCAUACUUCUCUCUGGAAUGCCAGGGCUUUUCUCUCCAAAGAGGAAAGAAAGAAACCAAGAUCUCUCGAGCUCUCCAUUAGUACACCUUUCAAAGAAGAAAUGGAUCAUAGAAGUUCUUGCAAAACUCUCUUCUGUGAGAUCAUCCUCGUCGCUCUCGCUCUCUUGAUCCUCCCCGCUCGCGCCGCUCAUCACUCCUCCAGUCCCAAAUCGCCCAAGAGGCCCUCCACGUACAAGUUCUUCUGGCACGACACCCUCCAAAACACGACGCAUCCAUGGACGAACACCGCCGCGGAGGUGGCCGGCCCAAACCACAACAUCACCGGCCUGGGAUUCGGCAAAGUCAUCGUCUUCAACGAUUCGCUCACGCUGGCGCCAGCGCUGGAAUCCAAGCUCCUGGGCCGCGGCCAGGGCGUCUACAUCUACGAUCGCACCCAGGCCGGGAUCGCCUUCAACGCGCUGCUCCUCUUCUCGGCGGUGAUCGAGAACGAGGAGUACAAUGGCACGCUCAACUUCAUGGGAGCGGAUCUUAUCCUGGCGCCCAGCAGGGACAUCUCGGUGGUGGGCGGCACUGGCGACUUUGAGAUGGCGCGCGGGAUCGCGAACCUCAUCACGCAUUCCAUCGAUGGCGAUACGUUCAUCGUCAAUGUCACCAGUAGAUUGUACUACCCAAACUAUUGAUUGAUCGAUGCUGCGCACCUGGAUCAUCUUUUUCUUUGUGGACCAACAAUAAGAGAAUUCCGUACGGCUUUACUUGAAGAGAUUGAAAAAGGUGGCAUGGGCCUGGCACUAUACUUUUAAAGUUUGCCUUCUCUCGCAAGAACCCUAUAAUUAGCUUGCCAGCGAGGCUAUCUUGAUCUAUGUGUGAGAAAUCCAUUUAAGUUUUGUUCUUGGUUUCUCAAGACUUGGAUUAUCUUUUUCUUUGUGGAAGAUAGAUUGAUCGAGAUGCUUGGAUCAUCUUUUUCUUUGUGGAAAAAUUGAUGGUGGCGUACACAAAUAAGAAGAAGAGAUUCCCCUGCCUUUAUUCGAAAGAGUGAUUGAGUUGACCAUUCUAAAGUUUCUCUUCUCGGAUUUUUAGAGUUUUUCACGAAUAGUUCUUACGUUAGACCCUUUUCUUGAUACUUACGAAAACCCUAAAAUUAACUUUAAUCUUUGUCGAGGGAUAUGCUUGGCCUAAAUGCCACUUCAUCGGUUCUUCUUUAAACCCUAAACUCCUGUGCUAGGGAGGGGAGAAAGAGCUUGCGGCGAGGUAUGUGAUCUUAGAGCAGCGAGGAGGAUUUUCUAGAGAGGAUCAUGGCGGAGGAGGAGGCUUUCAGUGACGCGCUCGCCUUCCCGGAUGAGCCCCGCAAAGAGAUGAGUAGCGGGCGGAAUGGGAGCUUGAGGAACAGGAAGAAAUGCAAGGAUCGUUCGCUGGACUGGCAACGCGAGGAAGAAGCUGCUCUAGAAAAGGGGGAAAACGGGAGCCAUAGCCUUACAGGAGGAGAAGAGGAUAGUCACUCGGAGAUAAGCGAAAUCGAGCAGGCUUCCGACGAUGAAAUCGUCCAGCCAGAGCGAGAUUCGCGACGAGAAAGCUUGGACGGGAUCGGCGAGCUCGAGCAAGUUCCCAGGCAUGACACCGACGAGACGAGCUCCACAGAGACAUUAGAUGAAGUUGAUGGAGGAGAAAGCCACCACCCCGAGGUGAGCUUAGAACCGAGCGAAAGAGACUCGCUCGAGCAGGUUCCAACGCUUGACACGGACGAAACGAGCUUCACAGAUCGACUAAGAGCUCUUCGUCAAGCUGGAAGUGACCACCAGUCGGAGAUAACCGCAGAAGUGAUUGGAAGCGAAGAACUCGAGCAAGUUUCCAAGCGCGACGCCGGGAUUUUUUACGACGUUAUCCGGCCAGUUUUCAUGGAUUCAGCAGAAGAAGCUGGCGAGAAGCCUCAAGCAGCGAGGCGAGAAGUUUACAAGAUGCCGGACAGUGUCGACAAUGGCAACGAGAGCAGUCUCAUCUUCUGGCCAGCGAAUUUCAUCAUUCUUGCCGUGGCCUGGCAGCUCAAGGUCAUCUUCCUUGCGUGCACCACUGCCGUCUCCACCCUCGGGUUGCUCUAUGCCUUCGUCCUCGACCCGGUACAAAUUACCAGCGCUGCGGGAAAGAACCUCUCGGAGCUUUUCAACUCUCGCGUCAAGCCACUCGCGUCGGACUUCGCUCCACGGCUCGCCAGCUUCGUCCAGAGAUUUGGAUGGGGAGUUUUAGCGGUGACUUACGCCCUGCUCAUGCUCGCCUUCCUCGUCCUGCCCGUGCUACUCGUCGAGUACUUCUACGUGACCAAGUUCGUGGAGGUGCCUCUCGACGUCAAGGCUCCGCUCUACUUCAACUACACCGAGGCUCGCCCCAGCGCAUACUUUAGAUUCAUCUCCGAGGCCGGGACUGGCGAAGAGCUUUCACGGUGGCCGCCAGCAUUCUCCUGGGAUAAGCUCCGCGUCGGGGUGUCGUUAACUCUCCCAGAGUCAGAUUAUAACCGGCAACUUGGAAUGUUCCAGGUGAGAACUCACUCUCUUUUCUUCCUUGCUUUGCUUUCAUUUUCUUUGUUCGACUUCAAGCAUGUCCUUUUUCCGUGAAGGUGGCAGCGGAGAUACUCUCAGCGCGGAACGAAGUCGUCGUCAGAUCCAGUCGCCCGUGCAUGCUCCGCUUUCAAAGCGUCCCGAUACGCUACGCAAGGACGCUCAUCUACUCAGUGCCGGUCCUUCUCGACGUGGCCGGGGAGUACCAAAUCCUGGAGCUGGAAAUGAUAAACCUGAGACGACCGCGCGCGAGUCCCGUGCACGUCGCCAGCGUGAAAGUUUUGCUGGAGCCGAGAGCUGGAUUCGGGCCGGGAUCUGGUCUUCCGGAGCUCUACGCGUCGGAGAUCCAGAUCCGUGCCGACCUGCCGUGGAAAAAGUCGCUGGUUUACAAGUGGAGGAGGACACUCUACGUGUGGAGCGCGACGGUGCUGUUCGUGACCGAGCUUGGCAUCGUCCUGUGCUGCUUCCGCCAGCUGCUCAUCCCGAAGAAAACGAGGCAGCGCCAACUCCAGCACAACAAUUCUUUGGAUCCGCCCUCCACUACAGCGUCCCGAAGAGCGAGAAGUCAAGUGAAGAAGCGCGUUUCGUUCCAGGAAAACUAGACUUUCCAGGUAUGGUUUCGCCUUAAACUUCUCUUUUCUUGCACUUAUUUUCCAGCUUUGUAUGACACGAUCCAGGUGAUAUACAAUCUUUCUCUCGGGUCUGCCUUAUAGUAGGACCGGUCACGAGCAACGAUCGGUACGUUUUUUUAUAUGCUACGAGAGGGAAAAUUUAUACCAUUGAAGAAGCGAGAGAGAUGCGGGAGCAUCGACGUCAGGAUGCAUUUACGAGGGUGAUGCUGAUGUCUGGAGAUCACAAAGAGCAAAAGCACGGAGAGGCGAAAAAAUAAUGGGCGAAACAACGAUCUCGCCAUGGACUUUGUGAGUGAUUACUUCCAUUCAUUCCACUUUUGUUCUAACUCUCUCUGUUCUUCCACUCCAGGAACGCGAAAGUAGGAGGCCGAGCACCGAAAGAAAGGAAAAACUUCGCGAUCAGUUACAACCGCAUCCCCUUAAGUCGUCUGCAAGCUCUGGACAAAUUCUGGGUGGUCUUGGCGGGAUUUGCAGCAUUUCCUUUCGCUCAUCCCGGCCGUCGAAUCCAUCCGACGGCAGCCAGCAGAGCACACUUGUCCUAUAGAGAAGGUGCUGUAAGGUUUUUUUUGUUUUGUUUUUGUUUUUGUGAAUUUUUUUUUUUUCGUGUUUACGUGCUUGCUCUGCAGACAUGGUUGGUGCCAUUGCUGCCUAGCAAGUUGUUCGCCGGUCACCUCAAGAACAGGCUUUUGCUCGCUCCUUUUCUCGGCUCUUCCGACUUUAUUCUAAGUGGAAGAACACUUUGAUCCGGAAGCGCGAGUAAUCUAAUCGCUAGCUCCAAUGCUGCCGCGGAGUUUUCUAUCGAUCCAUCGCGAGAGAGGUGUGUUUGGCGCUUUCGAUAGCUCACGUCUGGCUAGAGUUUUUUUUGGAGAUCAUGGAUAGAAUUCACAAGAGUGUUAUUUACCUGUGGAAUGGAGAGUACAAAUUUUUCUUUUCUUUACACGAGAGCGAGGAGGAGAAACACAAAUGCUGCACGCUCGAGAGAAUCGAGAGUGUUAUUUGGAGGGCGCUAUCCUCUGAUCGAGAGAACCAAGCGAUAGAACCAAAAAGAAAACGUUGACAACGAGAAAACGAGAAAAGGGGAAAAAACUGCUCACAACUUCCACAAACCUGGGGAAAAUGCUGCCUCGCCUACAAACAAUCUUAUGGAGGAAUCGAGAUCGCCAAAUGGAAGGAGGAGGAAGGAAUCCAGCGGAAGGAAAGCGAAGAAGUCCAAGGAAGAACGACGAAGAACUCUUCUCCUCCCCGCUUUUGUGCUGCUGCUACUUAUACUAGACCAGUGAAAAGAAUAAAAAUCCCUCCUUUCGCUCCAAUCCACCCCUCCCCAUUCCAUUUGGGCGAUUCCCUCUUCUCCCAUGCUCCAAUCUAGUAGGUCUUGUAUGGAUCCUCUGCGAGGAGCUGCCUGGUGGUGGCAUCCAUCUUCAAUCCCAGAUCCAUGACGCCCUGCUGCUCCGCGAGGGAGAGAUCAUCCAUCUCCAUCGCCGAAGACAUGGCCCCUGCUCCAAUUCGUGCUCCCUGCGCUGCCAUGGGCAUCGCCGCCGCGAUGACAAUGCCAAUCAGCAGCACCAGCGCUGCGAUCUUCCUGAGAAUCGCCUGCAAUGCCAUCGCGCCGAAGAGAUUUCGCUGCGGGCUGGAAAGAAAUUCUUCCCUCACUCUCUCGCGCAGAGCUCUCUCUCUCUCUCUCCCUGGCGAAAUAGGGUAAGCCCAGGGCCGGGUAUUUAUCUUCUGCAAUUACUCCAC